GCGAACAAUACAGUCAGGAUGGCUAAAGGUGACCCCAAGAAACCAAAGGGCAAGAUGUCUGCUUAUGCCUUCUUUGUGCAGACAUGCAGAGAAGAACAUAAGAAGAAAAACCCAGAGGUCCCUGUCCAUUUUGCAGAAUUUUCCAAGAAGUGCUCUGAGAGGUGGAAGACGAUGCCCAGGAAAGAGAAAUCUAAAUUUGAUGAAAUGGCAAAGGCAGAUAAAGUGCGCUAUGGUCGGGAAAUGCAGGAUUACAGACCAGCUAAGGGAGGCAAGAAGAAGAAGCAUCCUAAUGCUCCCAAAAGACCACCGUCUGGACUCUUCCUAUUCUAUUCAGAAUUCAGUCCCAAGAUCAAAUCCACAAACCCCGGCAUCUCUAUUGGAGACGUGGCCAAAAACCUGGGUGAGAUGUGGAAUAAUUUAAAUGACAGUGAAAAGCAGCCUUACAACCCUAAGGCAGCAAAGCUGAAGGAGAAUUAUGAGAAGGAUGUUGCUGACUACAAGUCAAAAGGAAAGUUUGAUGGUGCAAAGGGUCCUGCUAAAGUUGCCCGGAAAAAGGUGGAAGAGGAAGAUGAAGAAGAGGAGGAGGAAGAAGAAGAGGAGGAGGAGGAGGAUGAAUAA